rnacentral:lncRNA from 1 species
UUGAACUGAGUGCUACGUGGCUUACUGCUCUCUUAAGCGCGUAGACGACUGUGCGUAUCAAGGGUGCUCGGUUCUUGUCUCCUCAAAGUUACAGAGGCGGCUCUGUCUGUGCACUUCGUGCUAUUCACGAGUAUUGUAAAUGGUCGUUGUCUCUGUAAUCACUAACCAGCAAGUAGUACCGGAUAGUUCAAGACAAGACGGCUUGUCUUGAGCUACCGGGGCGGAUAAACCUGUCUCCGCCUCAUUCCGCCCGCCUCCGCGCGUCAGACUGGCGGAUAACGCAACUUCCUCACACCGCAUAACCUAACGGCACAAACCCAGCUCACUCAAACGCACAAGAUCUUACGGACAGUUAUGGCCAAACAGAGCAUUGCUAUGGUAGUCGGCACACGGGAGUUAUGCCUGCUUAGUCACGUGCUGCCCCAUAAUUCGACAGCCGCACUGAUUCUGACCCCGGGUUUCACAGCUUUCCCGGCACGGUCCCACGCCAUGUCCGGUCCCACGCCCUGGCGUGACACCUUGUCACUCUGCGGCCCGGAGCUGGCUGUGUGAAAACUGGCGAACGGUGGUGACGGCUAUGCUGAGGGCUGCAGGGCUUAUCGCCGCCCUACCGCCGCCAUCCUGAUGAGGAAUCGUGAUGGUGAAGCCGUACUUCCGGGCAUACGAUCAUGUUACACACAAGGGGAGGUGUGUACACCUCCCCUGGUACGCACACUGUCACACACGGCAGGCUGCUCCUUUACCGGCACCGAGCCGCGUGGCUGAUCGCCAUCCCAUACAGUCGGUUCUUGGCAACCGCCUCGGCACUGCACACGAAGAAUGGUCAACUUCCGCAAAUCAUUCCUGGUCGUGCGCACUCUCCGCCAACCCUCUCACUCCGCAGUGCCAGCCACGCCCUGCCAUUUGUCCUGGUCUGGCGGCAAUGUCGCUCCCAACUGAGUCAAGGCGGCCAAGGAGCGCUUCAGCGCAGCCCUGCAGCUGGGCACGGACGUGCAGGCAGAGGGGCGCUGCGCCAAUGGUGAGGACAUACUUGCAUCAAAGCACGCUAGAUUACUUGGAACACCUCCGACCCCAGGCAAUGGCGACUGGAGGCGCCCGUACCUGAAGGGCGCCUCCUGCCGCUCCUGCUACCUGAACGAUUCGCAUUACCCCGCCACCGGGCUGCGUUCCAGGUGAGUUUAUGUUGUGGGUUUCGCGUUGUCGCGAAUGGCAGCCUAGUCGCGCGCGAGCUGCUACAAGUCAGCUCCACGCCAGUGUAACCAUUUGGUGCGCCUGCUGCGGAGCCGCGUGGGGCGCGCGCGGGUGUUCUCGUCUCGGAAAAUAACAAGUAACCGCAAUUGCAGCUAACUCUAAUUUUUGUCUUGCUGCGUUUCAGGCGGCAGUGGCGACGGCGGGGGAACACUUGUCUUGCUGCUUGCUAGCCUGGAGCACUCGACGGCGUCUUGCAUCUGCAUUCACAUUUCUCUGCCUAGACUAACGUGCUUGAAAAAAUGCAACACGUACAAGCCUAGCACCCGUCACGCUGUGGGGUUUGUGCGGGACGCUGCCGCCCCUUGUAAGCGGUAACACGCGGCACACAACGUAUAACCCCUGAGGGGAUAUCGUAUAGCACCGCGCUGUGCUUAUGAGUGGCCACUCAGUACGACAUGGUCAAGCUGAGUACUGUGUACAAUGAAGUGGUGGCCGCAAAGGCCAGAUGUCUGUCAAUGGAGUGCGGACACACGGAGCGGCGCCAGUGCGGGGAGACACGCCGAGGCGGCCACUGCGCCGUGUCUGCCGCCUACAACCUACCUGAGUAACCUGAUCCAUUGUUACGACAACUCGACAAGUGACGCAACACAGUGAGUGUUAUACACUGCUGGUGCUUUUUGGUGUCGCAGGCGUGAGGGUGCAAAGACCAUGCUAAACUGUAACGACGGGAAAAGGCCCUUCGAAGUUGUCAGGAACGGGAAGUACCCGCGUUACAUUCUCCCCCCCUUGGAUCACACGUCCUCGGGUGGAUCUGCGAAUGUGACUGCUCGCCAGAAACAUAAUUUUGACACCACGGCCGGCAUUACCCGUCACCGCGUCGAGAAGGCACCACGGUAUGCAAUCCCCUAGUGCCGGUUUUUUGAGCGAAGCCAAAUUCCGACGUACUCAGGACUCGAACCAGCGACCUCCGGCUGUUAUACCAUCGGAACACUGGGUGGUCUCGAUACCAAUUGUAACGACGGGAAAAGGCCCUUCGAAGUUGUCAGGAACGGGAAGUACCCGCGUUACAUAAACAGGACCUGGCAAAUGCCAUGUCCAGCUCGACCUGACCUCUUCACGCAUACGCGUUGUUACCCUCUUGCCGCUGGCUCGGCUUGCUUCUGCUCAGUCUGCGUCCCACCACCCGCAAGUUCUGUGGCCGCGCCGGUGUUGUUACUGGGCUCGGGGAAUAGUCAGGGGAGGGGCAACGUCCGCGCCUGCCUGCCCCUGCUGGCAACAGACAGCGUUUCAGGGCCGAAGGAUCAAACCCAGCACCCAGAGAUAUUAUCGCAGCUAAUCAUAGGCAUUUGCCCACCUUAACGGGCUGAAAUGCUUUUCAUAUGCUGACUAUUCGGUCCGGCCCCCAUUCACCCAUGGUGAGCCUGCGAGCAAGGCGGG